rnacentral:rRNA from 1 species
AGAGUUUGAUCAUGGCUCAGGACGAACGCUGGCGGCGUUAACACAUGCAAGUCGAGCGAGAGCCAGUUGAGGGGUAACCCUCGGCUGGGGACAGCGGCGAACGGGUGCGUAACACGUGGGCAACCUGCCCCUGACACUGGGAUAACCCCGGGAAACCGGAGCUAAUACCGGAUACUCUCGGCCGAUCACAUGGCUGGCCGAGGAAAGGUCCGCCGGUCAGGGAUGGGCCCGCGGCCUAUCAGCUUGUUGGUGAGGUAACGGCCCACCAAGGCGACGACGGGUAGCUGGUCUGAGAGGACUACCAGCCACACUGGAACUGAGAUACGGUCCAGACUCCUACGGGAGGCAGCAGUGGGGAAUAUUGCACAAUGGGCGAAAGCCUGAUGCAGCGACGCCGCGUGAGGGAUGAAGGCCUUCGGGUCGUAAACCUCUUUCGGCAGGGACGAAGCGAUCAGUGACGGUACCUGCAGAAGAAGCCCCGGCUAACUACGUGCCAGCAGCCGCGGUAAGACGUAGGGGGGCGAGCGUUGUCCGGAUUCAUUGGGCGUAAAGCGCGCGUAGGCGGCUGCGCAAGUCGGUUGUGAAAUUCCGGGGCUCAACCCCGGAACUGCGUCCGAUACUGCGUGGCUAGAGGUAGGUAGGGGAGAUCGGAAUUCCUGGUGUAGCGGUGAAAUGCGCAGAUAUCAGGAGGAACACCGGUGGCGAAGGCGGAUCUCUGGGCCUUACCUGACGCUCAGGCGCGAAAGCUAGGGGAGCGAACAGGAUUAGAUACCCUAGUAGUCC